rnacentral:pre_miRNA from 1 species
AUUGGGUCCGUGCUCUCUGUGUUGAAUUUGAGGAUCUUGCUCUUUCCAUUGUGUAUGCUCAGGUCUAUUGAUGCUGAGAUUACUGCUACGU